UACGGAGGGUGCAAGCGUUAUCCGGAUUCACUGGGUUUAAAGGGUGCGUAGGAGGGCAGGUAAGUCAGUGGUGAAAUCUCCAAGCUUAACUUGGAACUGCCGUUGAUACUAUCUGUCUUGAAUACCGUGGAGGUGAGCGGAAUAUGUCAUGUAGCGGUGAAAUGCUUAGAUAUGACAUAGAACACCAAUUGCGAAGGCAGCU
rnacentral:rRNA from 1 species